rnacentral:rRNA from 1 species
GUGCCAGCAGCCGCGGUAAUUCCAGCUCCAAUAGCGUAUAUUAAAGUUGUUGUGGUUAAAAAGCUCGUAGUUGAACCUUGGGCCUGGCUGGCCGGUCCGCCUCACCGCGUGCACUGGUCCGGCCGGGCCUUUCCCUCUGUGGAACCCCAUACCCUUCACUGGGCGUGGCGGGGAAACAGGACAUUUACUUUGAAAAAAUUAGAGUGCUCCAGGCAGGCCUAUGCUCGAAUACAUUAGCAUGGAAUAAUAAAAUAGGACGCGCGGUUCUAUUUUGUUGGUUUAUAGGACCGCCGUAAUGAUUAAUAGGGACAGUCGGGGGCAUCAGUAUUCAACUGUCAGAGGUGAAAUUCUUGGAUCAGUUGAAGACUAACUACUGCGAAAGCAUUUGCCAAGGAUGUUUUCAUUAAUCAGGAACGAAAGUUAGGGGAUCGAAGACGAUCAGAUACCGUCGUAGUCUUAACCAUAAACUAUGCCGACUAGGGAUCGGACGGUGUUAUUCAUGACCCGUUCGGCACCUUACGAGAAAUCAAAGUGCUUGGGCUCCAGGGGGAGUAUGGUCGCAAGGCUGAAACUUAAAGAAAUUGACGGAAGGGCACCACCAGGGGUGGAGCCUGCGGCUUAAUUUGACUCAACACGGGGAAACUCACCAGGUCCAGACACAAUAAGGAUUGACAGAUUGAGAGCUCUUUCUUGAUUUUGCGGGUGGUGGUGCAUGGCCGUUCUUAGUUGGUGGGUGACUUGUCUGCUUAAUUGCGAUACGAACGAGACCUUAACCUGCUAAAUAGCCCGCAUUGCUCGGCAGUGCGCUGGCUUCUUAGAGGGACUUUCGGCUCAGCGAGAGUUGAGGCAUACAGUCUGUGAUGCCUAGAUGUCUGGCGCACGCGCGCUAACCUGACGGGUCAGCUAGUCUGCGGAAGUCCGGAUUUUGGUAAGCCCGUCCGUCUGGAUAGAGCCU